CCUGUGUUUGUGUGUGCAUCUGGGUUUCUCAUUAUUCUUACAUACACACACACACACACGCGCACACACACACGCACACAC
rnacentral:miRNA from 1 species